rnacentral:rRNA from 1 species
AAAGGGAAUAAACGCGCACAUUGGAUGC